UGGAGAUCCUUCCUCUGGAGUUCUGUAGCGAGCCCAGGACAAGGGUCUUCCUUAAAGAACUGCCUCUUCUCAACUCUGUACAACAUCCAACAGAGUGGGAUUUGAAGCAAGAGAUCCCUGGUUGUAAUCCGAAGAUUUGCAAGGAUGAACUGCUCAAGACACCCUUUAUUUUGUGGUGUGACAGCUGUGCACGUCUGUUCAGAGCAUGGCUUGUCUUUCACGUCUCUCACACUGCUGCUGAAA